rnacentral:rRNA from 1 species
GACCAGAGAAGCAGUGAAAGACUAAUCAUGAGAGCCCAUAGCUAGUUCUCUGUGAAAGGUACCUUAGUACUCACCUAUAGUUGAAGCCAUCUGAAAACCAGUCUCUAUCCAUAACCAAGCAACACACUAACCAAGCUCAACCCCAUGGAGAACAUAUACAGCCAAAGACAGCAUCACAUCAACUAUAGACGCACUAUAAUGACGUUAAGGCCAUCCUAGAACCGAGAAAGAGCUCUCCUCACAAGAUAAGGAGCUCAAGCACAAACCAAGAUCCCAGCCCUUCUAGUACACCAAGCCUGUAGCCAGUAAGCCUAGAGUCCGCUCAAAGCACUCAGGAAAGCGUCAUAGCUCACUACAGGACAUCUCAAAGAUACCUGAAUACUGCUCUGAUCAAGCCCUCCGAACCAGUGAAAACCAUCAAGGUAACAGAGAGUAUGACCACCAGAAACACUAUAGAAUCAACUGAACUAGAGAGUCAAAGCUAGAAUGUAUACGUGAGUAAUGCCGAACCAUGAAAGAACCAAGG